CUACAUUGGGACUUUGCACCAGAUAUUGCCCUAGCAGAACAGGUGAGAAGAAAGUUUGGGUCCACCGUACACUUCUCACCUUCCCGGGACAACAAGGAAUUAUUUCUAGUGGUUUCAUUCUCUUCGGCCUCCUUCCCUCUCACGGUUGAUUCGGUUGGUAUUGCUCUCCAAUGUUGCAUUGGUGGUAUUUGUUCUGGUCAACUUGACUCAAAUCAACUCUCGCUCUUUUCGGUUCUCGGUGGCUAA
rnacentral:rRNA from 1 species